GUGUCACACAGGAGAAAACUGAGGCUCAGGAGGGCCACCUCUAGUCACCCAGUGAGUUUGUGCCUAAGCCAGGAGUCAAGGUCUGGCCUCUCUUGAGUCAGCUUCACUAAGCCAUCUGUGCGGGGAAGCAAGCCCAGCUGUGCAGAUGGGGGGCCUGGGCGACAGGCGUUUAAUCCAGAUGCUGAUGAUGAUAAGGAACCCGGAGCCAGCAAUAGCAGUCUAAGACUUCCAUGCCCAGCCAGGUCCAGCUAGAUCCUAGCUGAGCCUAUCGAGUCUAGGGAGAUAUCCAUGGCCUGUGGCUUUGACCUGUUCCCAUUUCCCGGUCUUACAGGCUUUUGGCGUCUGAACUGGGAAGCCCCAUGAGACCUUCAUCUCAGAUUAGGAGCUUAUCGAUGGGACUCAGAGCCUGCCCCUUAGGAUGGUAUCUCUACCUCUCUUGCCCCCCACUUUCCAAAGCUUGGCUGUAGUAUUUUUUAUAACAAUAACUACUGCUCAUAUGUUCAAGAAGUUUAAAACAAUAUAGCUAUUUCCAGCUCCGUAAUUAACAACACAUGCCAAGUCCACUACACUAAGUCUUUACUGCAUCAUCUGACUUAGCCUUCAAGAGAGCCAUUCUCCGAUUGCCGUUAUGAUCUCACUUUACUGUAGGAAACAAAUAUUCCAAAUACUUCAAUGCACCAGGCCACACGACAAAUGAACGGCAGAUUCACCGUCUGAACCAAGACACUGAAUACGUACUCCCAUUCACACGCCCGUGGAGCCCAGAAUGGAGAAGAGCACAGGUGCACAGAGCCUGUCUGAGGAGGGAAAAGUGACCCAACCAGCAUGGGUCACCUUUGACACCAGGAACAAGAUGUAGAACUCUUAGCUCCUCCUGCACCAUGCCUGCCUGGAUGCUGUCAUGUUCCUGCCUUGAUGAUAACGGACUGAACCUCUGAACCUCAGUAAGACGCCCGACCUGAAGAGAGAGCCAGAAGGUGGGCUGUGGACCCUGAGAAGCUGUGGUUGCCAGUACGGACUUGCUAUGGCCUUGUUGCCAUGUGGAGGGGGUGUGAGAGCGGAGCUGUAGACACGGCAGAGGGUCGGGACGUCUCUGAACCUUCAAACCUAAAACUUCCCUAAAAGAGUGAAGUCCUUCAACUCGUCACUUCAAGCAAUGUUCUAAGUACUUUUACAAAUCUAAUCUAAAGGAUUCCCAACAGCAGCCUGAAGCAAAGCCAGUGAUGUCUACUGUCCAUGUGCACGGAAGUCCCGGUGACUCGGGGUCUCAUGCUCUAGUUCACGUCCUCAACCUGUAACAGCCAGUGGGCUUCACUCAGUUCUGCUGUGACCCAUGCUUUGCAACAUGACUCUGUUCCUACUCGUACACACGUGUCAGGGAAUGAUUUGAGUAUAAAGUAAAUCUCACUUUGCUCUCAAUGAGAAGCCUGUGUAUGAACGAGCUACAGCCUGCAUUCGUAAAGGCAGGCUCACUGGGACACAGUGCGGCUUCGUUCACCUCUGGGGCUGCUGCUUCUUUGCAACACCAUGGAACUGAGAAGGGCUGGCUCUGCAAAGUGGGAAGUCUGGCAGGUUUUUGAAGAAGAAUUUGUGGGAACCUCGGCUGUACAUUGUGACGGCUGAUCUUGAUUGUUGACUCCAUUGAUCUGGGUGAUUCUUACACUGCAAGUAAGGCAUCCCUCUGGGUAAGACUUCAAGGGCAUUUCCAGAAACAGAUCGUUAGCCAGCCACAUUCAUAACCCACUAAUGGCUUCUCUGAUGGUUACAAGACCUGCCCAGUCACAUCUGUGUCUACUCUCUGACUGUAGAUGCCCUUCCCCCACCAGGCAAACCCUCCCACAGUACAAGUCAACUUCAGGGUGUUUUCAAGAAAAACAUAUUUAUUGUAGUAUUUAUAUAUUUUCAUUAUUUAAUAUGCUUUCUAAAGACUACAUUUUAUUAUGGCCUGAUGUCUUCUAUGUGUCACUGAUAAAUGUUUGAAAUAUUUUGCUUUUAUCUCAUUUUUGUCAUAACCCCUGAUAGUCUCUAGAAUUAUUACCAUGAUGAGGGCUGAAGAGAUGACUCAGCGGUUAAGAGUACCGAUUGCUCUUCCAGAGGUCCUGAGUUCAAAUCCCAGCAACUACAUGUUGGCUCACAACCAUCUGUAAUGGGAUCCAAUGACUUCUGCUGCUGUGUCUGAAGACAGCGACAGUGUACUUACAUACAAGAAAUAAAUAAUUUCAAAUUAUUGUCAUGGUUUUAAAAAAAUCACAUAGCAUAAGUAACCAUUUCUCGGUGAGUAAUUCAGGAGUGUUCAAUGGAUUUGCAAAUGAUUUGUAAAACCACUCUGUACAUUUUUUAUUGACAUUUUUCAUGAAACUGUCCCCUCGAGUCCCACUAGCCACGUCCUGUUUUCUGUUUCUGUGGGUGUAAGUACUUUACAUGCCUUCUACAAACAGAAUCUACAGUAGUGGACUUUGAAGACGGGUUUACUUUCUGGUCUAAUUGCUCAAGGCUCAUCUACAUUACAUGUAUCAGACUUUUCUUUUCCCCAAGGCUACUGCACUAUUCUGUGUUCUGCUGUGGCUUGCACCCUAAGACUUUCCUCCCUUUGCCCUUUCUCUGUGUGAAGACAGAGUCAUCCUUCCACUCUAUCAUUACGGCAGCGAACGCCAUUUACAAAGCAGAAAGCUGCCCUCAGCUCACACGGAGUCUGUCAGGACCUUUGUUUGGGGCCUCCAGCUUCUCCAGAAAUUAAUUCCUGAGAUGUUUCCUUCUGGGGUGAUGUUUUUAUUGUUUGGUUUGAUUUGUCUGGGGUAUGUGAAUGGGUGUAGGUCUUACUAUGUAGCCUAGACUGGCCUCAAAUCCAUAAUUCCCUCACCUCCACUUCCCAAGUGCUGGGGUUUAUAGGCAUGUGUCGCCAUACCCAGCCUAAGCUCCUGUUCUUUGUAAAUACUUGGAUAUUUCAUGAUAGCAGCACACACAAGUAAGGCGCUUAUACACCACAUUCUGUUUAUCCAUUCUUCCGUUAAUGGACACUGGGGUGACUUCUAUCUCUUGCCUGCUGGGAAGCCUGCUGCUCUGA